UCUUGAUUCUCCCACUUAUAAUCCAACGGUCUACAUGAAGCUUUAGUGUGUAUUUAUAUUCCUUCCCAAUGCGGCCAUCAUAAAACCCUGCUUGAAUCGAAGGCCUAGGGUUUAAGGUCGUCUGGGAAAGAAAGGAAGAAGAGAACGAACAGAGGACGUAAACAUGGCUUUUCUUAGUAAAGUUGGAAAAAUAUUUAGUCGGAAUUCUGCAUCAAGGAUCGGUUCAGAUUUGCAAGCUUCCAAUCUGUCUAUCUUUCAAACUUUUAGAUUCAUGUCAGGUUCGAGAGUUUUUGUUGGAGGCCUUUCAUACGGUACUGAUGACCAGGGUCUGAGGGAAGAAUUCGCCAAGUAUGGGGAAGUAGUUGAAGCGAAAGUGGUGAUGGACCGUGAUAGUGGUAGAUCCAGAGGGUUUGGGUUUGUCACUUUCGCUGCCAAUGAAGAAGCUUCUAGUGCUAUUCAAGCUUUGGAUGGACAGGAACUCCAUGGUCGUCGCAUUAGGUGUAACCAUGCAACUGAAAGGCCUCGGGGUGGUGGUGGCGGUUAUGGUGGUGGCGGUUAUGGUGGUGGCUAUGGUGGUGGUGGUGGCAGCUAUGGUGGUGGUGGCAACUUUGGUAGCGGUGGUGGUUAUGGUGGUGGAAAGUAUGGAGAGGAGGAUGACAAUGACUAUGCCAAAAGGGCUUGAGGGAACUGCUUGAUUUAAUUUGAAAACAAAUUGCUAAGUGUAAUAAUGUCUUUUGUGCCUACUUGUAUCGCCAAAAACCCUAGGACUUGCACUGGUUUUUGGUUUUGAAUGACUGGAAGUGAUUUUAAUCAUAUACCUUUGGAGUUCAAUCAAUGAGCUGUCAUUCAAUCUUUCAAAAACUAAGAAUAUGUUUGAUGCUAUAGGAGAGUUUGCUCAUUGUGUGAAUGUCCUUUCUUUUGUUAAGUGUAAUGGGUCGUGUAAUUUUGUUUCAUUCACUUGUUCAAGUUAUAUA